rnacentral:misc_RNA from 1 species
GGAAGGAUCAUUAACACUAUCCAUAUCACCUUAACCAAGCCUUCAGUGCCGCUUGAGCGCUCUCACGAGCCUUGAGCGUGCUCUACAAAAGUUUCUCUAAAGAAACCUAACUAAGCUAAACCACUAUAUCAAAUUCUCAACGAUGGAUAUCUUGGUUCCCAUAACGAUGAAGAACGCAGCGAAGUGCGAUAAGCAGUGCGAAUUGCAGAACCGUGAGUCAUCAGAUUUUUGAACGCAACUGGCGCCUGUUGGAAUCCCAGCAGGCAUGCUUGUUUCAGUGUCUCGUUUUCUCCUCACCUAAAUCUUAAUGCGAGAGAUACCCUUCUCUUGUGAAGUAUGAAAGCGCUCUGAGCCUUGCGAGCGGAAAUGGCUUCGGUCAUCUCUGCGCUCAAUGCAGCUGUCACAUUUAACAAUGUGAACUCGUUGAGAGCCAGGUCAGUGCAGUAUAUCUGCGAGCGCUUAGCUCCUUAAACUCUACUUGCAUCUGAAAUCAAGCAGGAUUACCCGCUGAACUUAAGCAUAUCACUAAGCGGAGGAAAAGAAAUUAACUAAGAUUGCCUCAGUAACGGCGAGUGAAGCGGCAAAAGCCCAAAGUGGAAAUCUCCGAGCCUCGCUCGGCGAAUUGUAAUCUAUAGGUUGGAAGCUCAAAAGGAUGUGGCGCAGAAGUGUCCUAGAACGGACCGCCAGAGAGGGUGACAGCCCCGUAUGUGGUGCCAGAUCCUAACGAGCUCUGAUCAAUGAGUCGGGUUGUUUUGAAUUGCAGCCCUAAUUGGGAGAUAGACUUCUUCUAAGGCUAAAUAUAUAUGGGAAACCGAUAGCGAACAAGUACUGUGAAGGAAAGAUGAAAAGAACUUUGAAAAGAGAGUUAAAAGACUUGAAAUCGUUGAGAAGGAAGCGGUAGAAAUUUAUUCUCUGGUAAGAACGAAGGUGUUCACCAAACCACUGCAGUUAGUCCGAUCGUCAAAGGCGGCUGGCGGCAUUUGGGGAAGUGAUAGCUGGGUUCUUGCCGUGAGGCAAAAUGGGGUCUCGUUCCCUCAAAAGCUGGGAGAGCCUGGAUUCCUUCGGGAGUCAGUUCGCUUGUGCUAGAGGGCGCGGGGCCUGAGGAAGCCUUGUGCGAUUUUGCCAAAAUGGUUUUUACCGACCCGUCUUGAAACACGGACCAAGGAGUCUAACAAAUAUGCGAGUAUGCUGGUGCAAAAACCAACAUGCGUAAUUAACGUGAUUGAUGCCAAGCUCCCUGCAGCAUCGACCGACCAUGAUCCUCUGGAGAAAGGUUUGAGUAUGAGCAUAUCUGUUAGGACCCGAAAGAUGGUGAACUAUGCCUGAGUAGGGUGAAGCCAGGGGAAACUCUGGUGGAGGCUCGUAGCGGUUCUGACGUGCAAAUCGAUCGUCAAACUUGGGUAUAGGGGCGAAAGACUAAUCGAACCAUCUAGUAGCUGGUUCCCUC